AACGAACGCUGGCGGCAUGCCUAACACAUGCAAGUCGAACGAGACCUUCGGGUCUAGUGGCGCACGGGUGCGUAACGCGUGGGAACCUGCCCUUAGGUUCGGAAUAACUCCCCGAAAGGGGUGCUAAUACCGGAUAAUGUCUUCGGACCAAAGAUUUAUCGCCUUGGGAUGGGCCCGCGUUGGAUUAGCUAGUUGGUAGGGUAAAAGCCUACCAAGGCGAGGAUCCAUAGCUGGUCUGAGAGGAUGAUCAGCCACACUGGGACUGAGACACGGCCCAGACUCCUACGGGAGGCAGCAGUGGGGAAUAUUGGACAAUGGGCGAAAGCCUGAUCCAGCAAUGCCGCGUGAGUGAUGAAGGCCUUAGGGUUGUAAAGCUCUUUUACCCGGGAUGAUAAUGACAGUACCGGGAGAAUAAGCUCCGGCUAACUCCGUG
rnacentral:rRNA from 1 species